UACCGAAAACUACCCCCCUGCGCUCUCGGACGCAUCAAUUUGAAUCCUCAGUACCAAAGCUUAUUAGGUUCAGCCUUUCAGGCUCUCACGAAGGAGGGCCGGGCGCAGCUGCUUAAACCGUCGUCCUUAAACCUCUUCAGUGUAAGUCCCUCCCACUCCGUUAUUGCAUCGAUUCUUCGCGCGGCUUCACAGUUCCCACCACCGGUGUGUGUUUGGAUCUUUUGACAACAUUGGAAUCUCCUUCUUUUUUCGGGUUUACUUCCACGAACCCGCUCUAAGAAAAUUGUUGAUUGGCAGAAUUCUUCCACUGAGGCGAAGAAAUUGAGCCGAUUGAUAUCCGUCACUUCCAUGGGAUUGCCAAGGUAUGGGCGUCCGAAGGGUUUUGAAGGUGAUUCGAGUCCCAACCUUUACGUGGCCAACUGUGGGCCGGCGGUGGGACUUUCUUACGACUCCAUUGCCUCAGUUUUCAGUGCCUUUGGUGAACUCAAAGGUGUCUUUGCGGCUGACGACAGCGGUGCCCGUGUUAUUGUUUCUUAUCGUGAUGAGAGUUCCGCCACAGCUGCAUUGGAAGCAUUUGAUGGACACCCUUGUCCUGACCUAGGAGGGCGUUCGUUGCACAUCCGGUAUUCAGUACUUCAACCCACUUCACAGGGGCAGGUUAGUGACUCAGUUCCAGUAUCGUUGAUGGCUUCUGAGUUGAACAUUCCUGGCCUUUACUUAUUGCAGGACUUUGUCAGCAUCAAAGAAGAGGAGGAAUUGCUUGCAGCCGUUGAGGCUAAGCCUUGGAAAAGUCUUGCCAAAAGAAGGGUUCAGCAUUAUGGCUAUGAAUUUUGCUACGAAACUAGGAAUGUUAAUACGAGACAGAAAUUAGGUGUACUUCCCACAUUCGUUUCCCUCAUUCUUGAAAGGAUCUCAUCGUUUCCGAAUCUUGAUGAUUCUACCAAUAUAGUUUUGGAUCAAUUGACGGUUAAUGAGUACCCAACUGGGGUGGGCUUGUCUCCUCAUGUAGACACCCAUUCUGCAUUUGAAGGAUUUAUAUUCAGCCUUUCAUUGGCAGGGCCUUGCAUUAUGGAGUUCAGGCAAUAUGCUGAAUGUGCGUGGCUUCCUAACCAUACCUCAAGCCCCAAUAUGAAAACAGAAAGUCUUGAAAAUGACAAAAGUUUCUUAAGGAGGGCAAUCUAUCUUCCCCCACGGUCCAUGCUUCUAUUAUCUGGGGAGGCUCGUUAUGCUUGGCAUCAUUACAUUCCACACCACAAGCGUGAUUUACUGUCAACAAUACAUCUGGGGGGCUGCUUGGCAGUCUUUUGAUGACCCCAGAUGGAAGGUCACUUCUUGCUGCUCCUUUGAAGACACCUCAUCAGUUUCUUGUUGGCUGUCUUAAAGUGCAACAACCCUCCCAUGGAGUGAAAAGGAUGCCCCGAUUGAUUUGGUAAAGAACAGCGUGAUCAAGAGGGGUUCAAGGAGGGUGUCUUUCACUUUUCGUAAGGUUAGAACGGGUCCUUGCAAAUGUGAAUUUCCCCAGUAUUGUGAUUCCCCGAGAUGAGAUGACUGGUUGAAAAUCAAAGGCUAACAAUUCAAUGCUCAAGCGUCUGCGUUACAACAAUCAUAAUUGUUUGUAGGAAAUUGUUAGUCUAAACUCUAGAGUGACACGAUUGGGGUUGGACUCAUUCAUUAUCAAAGAUGAUACAUUCUCUUAUUUUCCGAGAAUCGCAUAGAUUAUGCCUUCUCUUAUGCCCAUUUUGAUGACAUUGUUACUUUUGACUCCACAUAUAACAAGAUCCAAGGACUUUAGCUGUGCUUCUUGGUUUUGAUUACUACAAAGAAAUGGUGAAUUUAGCUGUGGGAUUUCAGAGAA